rnacentral:sRNA from 1 species
AGGCGACAAUGUUUUGCAUUGACAGCGGCGGCAGCAGCGGCAGCGGCGGGAGAGAAGGCGAGGGAGGUGGACGCAUG